rnacentral:rRNA from 1 species
GACGAACGCUGGCGGCGUGCUUAACACAUGCAAGUCGAACGAAGUGGCGGACGGGUGAGUAACGCGUGAGCAAUCUGCCUUACACAAAGGGAUAGCCUCGGGAAACCGGGAUUAAUACCAUAUGGUGUAAGAUGAGCUCGCGUCCCAUUAAUUAGUUGGUGAGGUAACGGCCUACCAAGGCGGUGACGGGUAGCCGGCCUGAGAGGGUGAACGGCCACAUUUGGACGGAGGUACGGGCCAGACUCCUACGGGAGGGAGCAGUGGGGGAGAUUGCACAAUGGGCGAAAGCCUGAUGCAGCGACGGCGCGGGGGGGAUGAAGGCUUUCGGGUUGUAAACCUCUUUCCUAUCGAACAGGGUAGGUGGAGAAGAAGCGCCGGCUAACUACGUGCCAGCAGCCGCGGUAAUUC